rnacentral:lncRNA from 1 species
AGCGUAGCUUAUGAUCUUCCCAUGAAGAAUGAAUAUCAAGAUCGCUAAAGACCAUCUCCAUAAUCAGCUGAAACCAGCCGCUGAACUCAAAACAGACCCACCCCCACACGACCCCUGAACGUUAAUCACCAACGAUCCCAUCUCCACCAGCAACAAAACCAACGUCCACCCUUUAACUUGCCGGAAAACACUCACACAACACACACAAUACAUAUGGGACACACCUAAAUUGAAGAAGGCUGGCGGCUAGCUUCUUCUGAAGAAUACACACAAUGGACGCUGGAAGCUAAAGCUGCGCAGCUUUGCUUUCUUCCGAACAAUACACAAACUCACACAAUACGCAGAACGAAAAAACAACGUCCAAAUAGCCAUUCCCAAUCUUGGAGUUUGACAACUUCGUUUUCCUGGUUUAAUUUGAGUUCUCCAGCGAGUUUCUAGUUUGCCGUCGACCAGUUGUUCCCGUCCGUGGUUUGUGGCAGUGUUCCUGUGGCCAUCUCAGCGUUUAAAUUGAGUUUGAGCCACUUUGUUGGCUUGUAUUUGCUUCUGAAAGGAUUAAUAAAACAUAUUGAACAUCAUUUAGCAUUUUUCGAGUUUGAAUCGUUGUAGUUUCGCUUUCGAGGUCGCCAUUUGAGAAUCGAGGUCGAUUGCAAUGAUAUUUUGUUCUGACCGAAUCGGGUUCGUUGCCUUCGUUCCGGCUAUUUUGGAAUAGGAGUUUACAUACAGAUCUCAGGUUAGCUUCAACAGUUGGUGCAAUUUGCAGUAUAUUCGGUCUCUCUUUGCAUGCUAGUGAAUAUUACAACCAAACCUAUGGUUUUACAUGCUCCAACAACUUGCUGAGGUGACGUUUACACCCUCUGUUCCUUUAAGCUUCAAAAUAUGUGCUUCAUUAACUCAUGGAAUGCACCAACGACUUGCUGAGGUGACUUUUACACCCUCUCCUCCUUUAAGCUUCCAAAUACGUGCUUCAUUAACUCAUGGAAUGCAUGGAAUUGGUAUUAAAAUUGCUACAAGAUUCUUUUGGUUUUCUAUAUUAAAAAUGAGAGUGAUAUGGGAUCUGUUAGGCUAUUUUUAUUUACAGUAGCUUAACUUUGUCAUGGAUUUGGAUUCCUUUUGUAUGUUUCUAAAUAGAUUGGGUUCAAGUUGAUUAUUUGUAGAAAAGAAGUUAAGCGUGAUUAAUUAUAUCAUUGUAGUUGUGGACAUGUCCGCGUGACAAAAUGACGAUUCCUUAAGGAUGGUUUGAGAUGUGCU